UUCCCAUGCCGAACACAGAAGUUAAGCUUCUUAGCGCCGAUGGUAGUGAAGGGUUUCCCUUUGUGAGAGUAGGACGUCGCCAUGC
rnacentral:rRNA from 1 species